GUGCAGCAGGCGCGAAACUUUACAAUGUGCGAAAGCACGAUAAGGGAACUCUGAGUGCCUCCUAAGGAGGCUGUUCUGAUGUCUAAAAGCAACAGAAGUAAGGGCUGGGUAAGACCGGUGCCAGCCGCCGCGGUAACACCGGCAGCCCAAGUGGUAGCCACGUUUAUUGGGUCUAAAGCGUUCGUAGCCGGCCAGGUAAGCUCCUUGGUAAAUUUAGCCGCUUAACGGUUAAGCUUUCAGGGAAUACUGCUUGGCUUGGGACUGGGAGAGGUCAGAGGUACUCCGGGGGUAGGGGUGAAAUCUAUUAAUCCCUGGGGGACCACCGGUAGCGAAGGCGUCUGACCAGACCAGGUCCGACGGUGAGGGACGAAGGCUAGGGGCGCGAACCGGAUUAGAUACCCCGGUAGU
rnacentral:rRNA from 1 species